GUAGUCAUAUGCUUGUCUCAAAGAUUAAGCCAUGCAUGUCUAAGUAUAAGCAAUUGUACAGCGAAACUGCGAAUGGCUCAUUAAAUCAGUUAUAGUUUAUUUGAUGGUUCCUUACUACUUGGAUAACCGUGGUAAUUCUAGAGCUAAUACAUGCUAAAAUGCCCGACCUCUGGGAGGGCUGUAUUUAUUAGAUAAAAAACCAUCCCCUUCGGGGUCUUUGGUGAUUCAUAAUAACUUUUCGGAUCGCAUGGCCUUGCGCCGGCGACGUUUCAUUCAAAUUUCUGCCCUAUCAACUUUCGAUGGUAGGAUAGAAGCCUACCAUGGUUUCAACGGGUAACGGGGAAU
rnacentral:rRNA from 1 species